UACGAAGGGGGCUAGCGUUGCUCGGAAUGACUGGGCGUAAAGAGCUCGUAGGCUGUUCGAUAAGUCGGGUGUGAAACCUCCAGGCUCAACCUGGAGACGCCACCCGAUACUGUCAUGACUAGAGUCCGGUAGGGGAGCGUGGAAUUCCUGGUGUAGCGGUGAAAUGCGCAGAUAUCAGGAGGAACACCAGCGGCGAAGGCGGCGCUCUGGGCCGGUACUGACGCUGAGGAGCGAAAGCGUGGGUAGCAAACAGG
rnacentral:rRNA from 1 species